AACUCCUUGUGGCACUUUUUGGUUUAGGAGAACCCAAGUGCGGUAAUAAAAAAACAGAAAUUGGUCAAAUUUGGCAAACCCAAUUAAACAGUAUUUCAAUUCCAACUCUUUCUCUCUUCAAUCUCGAAUUUAAUCUUCACCGGAUUGUCUAUGGUGCAAACACAAGUACCUGAGAAGUGAAAUUGCUCCAGAUUUUGCAGGUCGUGCUUUCCGAGCAAUCAUGAACUGGGUACAACGCAAGAUAUAUCUCUACAAUGUUACUUUUGGACUCUAUAUGUUAGAUUGGUGGGAGCGUUACCUAUUCAAUACGCUAAUCGUUGUCUUAAUGUGGUUUAUUUUCUACAAUGGGUCACGACAACUAUCUGAAUUAUGGAAGAGUUCCUUUGGUAAUGAUCGUUCUCAAUCAACAAUGAAAAGGUAUCUAUGGGGAGGUGCAUAGAUAAUUAGCUAACUCAACUUACAACAGAAAAGAAGUAAAGCCGAAGUUGAUAUCGGACAAACUUCCAAUCUGGUGGAAAUUACUGGUAGAUGUUACUCAACGUGGUUUUCACAACUAUCAUGUUGUUGUAGUUUCUCUAUUUAAAAGAAGGAUCAUUGAUCAAUCCGUGGACUAUGGACCAUGGUACACAGUGAGCAUGGUGCACCAAAAAAACAUAUGUGCAUAAGCAAAAGAAUAUGACACUACGACAAAAGAACAUGCGUUAUAAUAUUUCAUUUUUUUGUUAUAAAAAAUAAUAUAUUAUUUCACUAUUUAUUAAAAAUAUAAAUAAAAAAUAUAUCCAUGUUCUUUUCACGUAAACAGAUGUUCUUUUAAUUAUACACUAGUGUUCUUAAGGUGCACUAUGCUCACUGUGCACCAUGGUCCACCUUCUAAAUUGCGGGACUCUAGCUCUUCUUGAUUCAUGUUCAAACUUGAUCCCAUUCAUUUGCGAGAUAAGAUGAUAGUGUUCAUCCAUCCCUUUUUCCAAAGAAUUUGCAGCCCUAUGAGUCUACGACUAUGUGUAUUGCUUUUAGUUCCCCCAUCAACAAUUCAACACAGACCUUACCUUGUAUUUCUAUUUAAAGUUUGGUCUUUGUUUCUUCCUCA